rnacentral:misc_RNA from 1 species
GUGAAAAAUUAGCUAUCUCAUGAUCUGCAGAUGCAUUUUUCACUACAAAAUCCAAUUCCCUUAUAAAGCUAGUCAAUAGUCAUAUAUUGAUGUAUACAAGUUGACAAUUUGCAUGUUGAAAAUCAUAUAGAACUAGGCCUUGUACAGAAUGCCAGGCAACUUUAUUAUGUUUGAUGGAUUAUAAAGAGGAGGGAGGAGGAGGAGGAGAAGAGGAGGCUCCCCUGCUCACAAGAAACUCUGAGAUGUCAGUGUAGCCAAGUGCUAUAGCCAUGGAGAGUGGAGUAGCACCUCGGUUGCUCUUGGCAUUAACAUUAGCUCCUCUGCCGACCAACACCUCAACUGUCUCUAAACUGCCACUUUCCACUGCCAAAUGCAAGGGGACAUGGCCUUCAUUGUCCUGGCAUUCCAAAUCUACACCAAAUUCAACUAGCAUUGAUACUAUGUUCUUGUGCCCUUUGAUUGCUGCUGCAUGCAAGGCUGUGAUACCAUAUUGAUCCUUAUAGUUUUUGCUUGCACCUUUCUUUAAUAACCAUUCAAGGUGUUCCAAUCUCCCUUGCCUUGCUGCCAUUAGCACUACUUCCCCACGUUCCAGAGUCUCCAAAAUCUCAUCAUAUCCCUUAUCUCGCGCAACAUCAAAAGCUGAACGGCCGCGAUCAUCUGCAAUGGUGGGGUCGCAACCCAUCUCAAUUAGCAUCUCUACCAUCCUACGGUCACCAUUUGCCGCUGCUCUGUACAGUGCAGUCCUACCGUCGUUGCUCUUAGCAUCCUUGUCUGCACCCGAUUCCACUAACACCCUAGCACACUUGAUAUUCCCCCUACUUGCCGCCAAAUGCAACGGUGUCCUUCCUUCCUUAUCUCUCAAAUCCAAAGGCCCAAAACUAUCCAAUGAAUCUAGAACCUCUUCCGUCCUAUCCAAUGCGAUCGCCACGUGUAGAUCACUCCAGCCCUUGGAUUGCCAUUUUGGAUCCACCUGAUAAAAACUCACAUUCUCCGCUUUCGCACGUGAGUCAAUCUUCAACCCAGCUUCAAGCAGUAAGUUCACCAUACCCUCCGGGUCAGCCAGCUCGGUGGCAACUCGGAGGAGCGACUCAGCAUCUCUCGGAGACAACUCAGCAAGAAUCGACCUUUGCCUCUUUAUUAUAUUCUUCGCGGAGUUAACAUCUCCACAGCUGACAGCGUGGCGGAGAAGAAAGGGACCUACGAAGGCUACCUUGAGCUUAAGAUCUUGAGUUGACCAGUGAGGAAGAGAAGAGAACCACGAGUUGAG